CUACGGGCGGCUCCAGUGGGGAAUAUUGGACAAUGGGGGCAACCCUGAUCCAGCCAUGCCGCGUGUGUGAAGAAGGCCUUUUGGUUGUAAAGCACUUUAAGCAGUGAAGAAGACCAUAUGGUUAAUACCCAUAUGCGAUGACAUUAGCUGCAGAAUAAGCACCGGCUAACUCUGUGCCAGCAGCCGCGGUAAUACAGAGGGUGCAAGCGUUAAUCGGAAUUACUGGGCGUAAAGCGAGCGUAGGUGGCUUGAUAAGUCAGAUGUGAAAUCCCCGGGCUUAACCUGGGAACUGCAUCUGAUACUGUUAAGCUAGAGUAGGUGAGAGGGAAGUAGAAUUCCAGGUGUAGCGGUGAAAUGCGUAGAGAUCUGGAGGAAUACCGAUGGCGAAGGCAGCUUCCUGGCAUCAUACUGACACUGAGGUUCGAAAGCGUGGGUAGCAAACAGGAUUAGAUACCCUUGUAGUC
rnacentral:rRNA from 1 species